rnacentral:tRNA from 1 species
CCCCAACUAGCUCUGUUGGUAGAGCAUGAGGCUCACAAUCUCAGGGCUGUGGGUUUGUGUCCCAUGUCUGGCA